rnacentral:rRNA from 1 species
CCUACGGGAGGCAGCAGGGGGGGAUAUUGCACAAUGGGGGGAACCCUGAUGCAGCGACGCCGCGUGGGUGCAGGAGUGCUUCGGCAUGUAAAGCCCUAUCGGCAGGGAAGAAGCAAGACGGUACCUGACUAAGAAGCCCCGGCUAACUACGGGCCAGCAGCCGCGGUCAUACGUAGGGGGCGAGCGUUAACCGGAUUCACUGGGUGUAAAGGGAGGGUAGACGGGCAUGCAAGCCCAGGGUGAAAGCCCGGGGCCCAACCCCGGGACUGCCCUUGGCACUGCAUGGCGUGAGGGCGGGAGGGGCAGGCGGAAUUCCUGGUGUAGCGGUGAAAUGCGUAGAUAUCAGGAGGAACACCGGCUGCGAAGGCGGCCUGCUGGACUGCGACUGACGUUGAGGCUCGAAAGCGUGGGGAGCGAACAGGAUUAGAUACCCCUGUAGUC